UACGGAGGGUGCAAGCGUUGUUCGGAUUUAUUGGGUUUAAAGGGUGCGUAGGCGGCCCGUUAAGUCAGUGGUGAAAGCCUCCAGCUCAACUGGAGAACUGCCAUUGAUACUGGCGGGCUUGAGUACAGACGAGGUAGGCGGAAUUGAUUGUGUAGCGGUGAAAUGCAUAGAUACAAUCAAGAACACCGAUUGCGUAGGCAGCUUACUAGGCUGUAACUGACGCUGAGGCACGAAAGCGUGGGGAGCGAACAGG
rnacentral:rRNA from 1 species